CCAAGAGCGUGGCCACAGCAAUGUCCUGUGGGUGCUGCAGUGCCCAGUGCUCCUGUGCAAGGAGUGCUCAGCAUUGCCUGCCCAGCUCCAGCUUCUGAGCAUCCCUGCUGCAGUGAUUGCCACGCCACGUGCUGCAGAGGCAAGCUAUGUAGGUUAAAGCCUCCCAGUGGGAAAAGGGAAGAUGUGAGAGAGCAGAUUGCUGGUGGUGAUACUCACGGAAGGAAAAGGGAAAAAAGGAGCACAGAAUUCUAGAGCUGCAUCCAGACAAACGUGAGGCUCGAGAGGUAAGUUUUCUAUCUGCUUCAGAACACAACUUCCAUGGGUUGGAUUAAAUUUGUGCUGGAGUGUCUCGUGCCUGCAGUGAGAGCAGGAAUGAGGAGCUCAGAGCAGAUCCUAAGGCAGCAGUUGCUGAUGACCAGAGCAGGGGAGUGUGUUUGUCAAUGAAGCCUUGCUCUCCGUAAUGCAGCACAGCAAUGAUGCUCUGGUCCCUCUGCUAGGAGUCAGUGAGGUGUGCAAUGCUUUGUGACUGGUUCUGAGAUUUCAGCUUCUAUGUGUUAAAGUGAAGGGCUCAGGACAUGAAGGUGAAACGGGACUCCAGACCCUCUCUGAAUGUUUUUUGUUCCCAAACAAAAAAGCUUUCAUUGAGUUUAGGAUCUAUUUGAAUACAGAACAUGGGUUUAUGAUCAGCUAUUUGUGACUUUAAAUACCAGCACUCUGCAGGAAUUCCCCUGCUGAAUUUUCAUUGUUGAGACAAUGUAUUUAAAAUUAAAUUUUUGGCAGUAAACCCAAAGUAGUAUAUUGCAUAUUUUGCAUUGAGCAAAUGAUAAGCUGCUGUACAUUAAACUGUUGAUACAGAAAAAUAUGUUUGAAAUGAUCAGUUGCCUUCUGUUAAAUGAGAAAUCAUUGCCCAAAUCUGUUGUCUUGGUGAAAAUUUCUGUUAUUUUAAGGGCUCCUUGAGAAUUCUUAAAUGCCUUUUGGUUCCACACAAACUUAAUUAAAAAUUAAUUGCCUCUUUCUAGUCUGUAAAAUAAAACACUUGGGUAUGAUAUCUUCUUCAUUGACAUAGAAAGUCUUGACGUUUGCAAAGUGUCCUGCUCAGGGUGCAGACACAAGCUGUUGAAAUGCAACAGACAGACAUGUCAAUUAACUCUCUUAUUUUAGUUGUUUUAUAGCUACAUUUUCCCCUCCUGAAAUCCAGUCCUGAUAUUUCUAAACGAACGGCACACAGUACUGCUAAAUUCAGUGCUUGCCAGGACCGAGUUUAUUGCUUCUGUCUACAUUGACAUUCUCUCUUUUACUGUUCUGAUUAAAGGUGUCAGGAGGGAAGGAGAUGCAGAUACGUUU
rnacentral:lncRNA from 1 species